CAGUGUGAUCAUACCAGCACUAAUGCACCGGAUGCCAUCAGAACUCCGCAGUUAAGCGCGGUUGGGAGAGAGUAGUACUAGGAUGGGUGACCUCCUGGGAAGUACUCUUGUUGCAUCCU
rnacentral:rRNA from 1 species